rnacentral:rRNA from 1 species
UACGGAGGGGGCUAGCGUUGUUCGGAAUUACUGGGCGUAAAGCGCACGUAGGCGGCUUUGUAAGUUAGAGGUGAAAGCCCGGAGCUCAACUCCGGAAUUGCCUUUAAGACUGCAUCGCUUGAAUCCAGGAGAGGUGAGUGGAAUUCCGAGUGUAGAGGUGAAAUUCGUAGAUAUUCGGAGGAACACCAGUGGCGAAGGCGGCUCACUGGUCCAUUACUGACGCUGAGGUGCGAAAGCGUGGGGAGCAAACAGG